AAGGGCAUUCUGCUGUGGGGGGCAGGGGCUUAGGUUUGUCAACACAUAACCACUGCUGUUUUUGGGGUCCUGUGAUGUCAUAGGAAGAGAACAGUCUGAA